GUCGGAAGGCAUAUUAGCUGGGAGAAGGGCAGAAAUUUAUGUUGGGAGCUAAAGAAGCUUCUAUCCAAAGCCAUUCUGUUGUUUUCUCAGCAGUAGCUUUGCUUUUCCACUCCCUAUUCACGACGUCAUGCGAUUGAGUCUGCAAUAAAGCCAAGGAGCUUGGGCACUGCACCCUGACUCUUAUGUCAUUUUUGAAUGGAGUUUCGUUGACUGUCUAGUUGAUAUUAUGAUACCUCAACAAGGGUAAUUCACCCCCAUUUGUGCUUUGGCUCCAGUAUUCUGGCAAUACAGCCUUUCUACUGGCUGCAUCAUCACUUGGUACGGAGGCUUCAUACACAGGAUCGAAAGAGACUGCAGAGGAUUGUAGACUCAGCCAAUUCCAUAUUUUAUCAAUUUAUUUCUGGUAAUAUUUUAUCGUUUGUGCUGUGUUUGAUGUUUGGUGGGUGCUUUGUGGUCAGGAGGAACGUUGUUUUGUUUGGUUGUAUAUAUGAACCGUCAGAUGACAAUAAACCUGAACUUGGCUUAACCCUCUCCACCAUUGACGAUACCUUCAAAUGGUGAUGCCUCAAGAAGGGGACACCCAUCAUGGAGGAUCCUCACUAUCCAGGACGUGUUCUCUUUUCUCAGAGAGGAAGUACAGGAGCCUGAGGAUGUAAACAAAGUGUUUUCUUUUCCUUUGUCAUCAGAUUUUUUAAUGGCAAAGACUGCUUCACGAUUUAGAUCUCGUUUUGCACUAUUUAGUUACCUUUUAGUAUAUUAUUGUAAUUUCAAUGACUUGCACUGUACGGCUGCUUCAAAACAACAGAUGUUAUGAAACGUGUCAGUUACCCUGAUGAGAGGAUCAUUGGGGCCUCUUGUCCACCCAUCUGAGAUAUUUAUCAGCAGUGCUGUGUGCACAGGCCCCUUAGCAUUGUCAAGGAUCCCUCCCUUUCAUACAUCAAUCUCUUUGACCCCCUACCAUCAGGCAGGAGGUACCGACAUCAGGACAAGGACUGUUAAGAUGGGAAACAACUUAUUCCCCCAGGCUGUAAGACUACUGAACUCCCUACCUCCACCCAGGUCUCAUCAGUGCCAAGAGCAAAACAGUAUUUACUUUUUAACUUGUGUUGUAAAUGCACCUUAUUACUUGUUAGUUUAUGUGUGAUAAUAUUACUUUGUAUGUUGUUGUGAGUUAUAUGUACUGUGUUGUGCACCUUGAUCUGGAGAAACAUUGUGUUUGUCAGUAUACAUGAAUGGUGGAAUCACAAUGAACUUGAACUCGAACUUG